UACUUACAUAAGUACCAGAGUGCAUUCCAUGCACCACCCGGUAAACUAUGAGGUCGACAUAAAAUAAAAGAUGCAUCCCAGGUGCACACAAUUGCAGUUAGAUAAAACCAAUUUAAAAUCCAUGUUGGAAGAACGUAUUUCUUUAAAUCUGAUACGGCCAUGUUUUGUGCCAAUCACUUUUUACAAAUCAAUUCGACUUUUUAUUCGGGAUCCGAUUUAGACUUAUGAACCUUACAAUAAGUAGGCCAAGAGAUAACAUUU
rnacentral:lncRNA from 1 species